CCCCUUUUCUCCACCCAACUUUACACCACUCUCUUAGCAUGGGUGGCUGUAAGUACACUAGGGCAAACAUAAGUUUCCUUUUCUUUGGGUAGGUUUUUAUUUUUUAUUUUUUAUUAUUAUUAUUUUUUUCAGUUGUCCCCGCCAUCUUUAACCUGACCCCCAUUAGUACUAUCCUGACUAGCUCACUGUAAACUGAAAAAAAUUAUCAAACUGUCAACCAAAAGUAAACACAUCACCUGUAGGUACAGUAGAGUAAAGCUAAGUUUCCUUUUGUUUGGGUAUUUUUUUUUUUCUUCUUCAGUUGUCUCUGCCAUCUUUGACCUGACCAUUAGUGCUGUCCUGACUAGCUCACUUAUGAGCAGAAAAAAAUUAUCAAACCGUCAACCAGAAGUAAACACAUCACUUUGGACCACUCAAAGACACAGUCUACCUGCUGUUUAACCCAGUCUUUGGUCAGAGGUGAAGAAGAGAUGACAUCCUCCACACCAUCCCCCUGCUGCUCUCAACAACCAUCAUCGCUGUGCUGGACAGAUUGCAGCACCCACCAGGACCCUUCUCUCAUGGACUACACAAACAUGUGUUUUACCUGCUCAUGCUCCAGAUGUCCUGAAGCAGCUCUCAAGGACCACCAGACACCAGGCUGAAGCAGAACUGAUGCUGUAGUACCUGUCACUCACUGGGCUCGUUCCUGCUGAACCUCCAAGAGAUAAACCCCUCUUCAAGAACGUCUGAGGUAAUGUCUUAGUGAACUUGUGUUCAUUUAUUUUUUCUUAGUUAUCUUAGCUGCUGUAUUAAUGCUUGUGACGCUAUUGUACAGCUCUGCUGAUAUCAUCGUCUUUAACAGCAGUGUUUUCUCCCAGGUCUUCUUCAAGCCAGUUAAGAGAGGAAGAACAGCUUAGACACUCAGGCAGCUGAACGCACCAAAGGUGGACAUCAUGCAGCCACCCUGAGCCUUGAGCCUCUCUGUGUGAGGAAGCUUUGCUGCUGCAGACCUGGUGAAGUUGCUCUGGACAGAAAUAUUUUUGCUCUGCUGCAGUGCUGAAG